UACGAAGGAGGCUAGCGUUGUUCGGAAUUACUGGGCGUAAAGCGCGCGCAGGCGGUCUUCCAAGUCAGUGGUGAAAGCCCGGAGCUCAACUCCGGAACUGCCAUUGAAACUGUAAGACUUGAGGAUGAGAGAGGUGAGUGGAAUUCCCAGUGUAGAGGUGAAAUUCGUAGAUAUUGGGAAGAACACCGGUGGCGAAGGCGGCUCACUGGCUCAUUUCUGACGCUCAGGCGCGACAGCGUGGGGAUCAAACAGG
rnacentral:rRNA from 1 species